GUAAUCUGGCUGCUUUGCAGUCCGAGUUGUAAUCUCGAGAAGUGUUUUCGGCGCGCUUGGGCAUACAAGUCUGUUGGAAUACAGCGUCACAGUGGUGAGAACCCCGUAGAUGAUGCCCUCUAGCGUGCUCUGUGAUACACUUUCGAAGAGUCGAGUUGUUUGGGAAUGCAGCUCAAAUUGGGUGGUAAAUUCCAUCUAAAGCUAAAUAUUGGCGAGAGACCGAUAGCGAACAAGUACCGUGAGGGAAAGAUGAAAAGCACUUUGGAAAGAGAGUUAACAGUACGUGAAAUUGUUGGAAGGGAAACGCUUGAAGUCAGACUUGUUAGGUGGUUCUCGAAUCGCCUACCAGGCCAGCAUCAGUUUUGGGGGGCGGAAAAGGGUCUUUUGAAUGUGGCAGCUUAGGCUGUGUUAUAGCUCUAGACUGGACUCGCUCUCCGGGACUGAGGAAUGCGGUGUGCUUUCAGCGGUAGUCUCGACUACCUCACACCUUGGAUG
rnacentral:rRNA from 1 species